GGGAGGAUAAUUAGAAAAUCAUCAGCAUAGACUACAUCGAUCCCUUCUUUUUGGUGUAGAUACCGCUUAAAGCAGAAAACGUCCCGUCUUACAUCAGUAAUCGCUACGUUGAGGCAUCGUUGUUUACGGAUGCCUGACUGAUGUAAGACGGGAUUUUUUCCGCUUUAAUUCCACUUUUAUUACUGAUGUAAGACGGGAUGUUUUCCGCUUUGAGCGGUGUCUGCGCCAAAAAGAAGGGAUUUUAUUGGGACCUUGCUGGAGAGGGGUCUGAUGCCCAACCAAAUGAUGCAGGUGCUGGAUUUUGGGUCUCUUUGCCCCUCGAUACGAUUGGAACCGGCCUGUCUUUUUCUUUGUCGCUUCAUGUUGGAGCGCCUACCUGAAGAGUGCUGCGAUCCGGAACUGAUGCGAGCUUUAUGCCAUUUGGUGGUGCACCAGUCAUACUUUGUUUUCGGUGGCGGGAUUUAUAUACAGACGCGUGGGGUCCCUAUGGGCAGCCCCGUGGCUGGGGUGCUGGCGGAAUUGGUGGUGCGUUGUGGGGAGU
rnacentral:lncRNA from 1 species